AGGGUUGUGGCUCAGUGGUAGAGCGCUUGCCUAGCAUGUGUGAGGCACUGGGUUCAAUUUUCAGCAUCCCAU
rnacentral:tRNA from 1 species